GACGCACGCUGGCGGCGUGCUUAACACAUGCAAGUCGAACGCAGUGGCGAACUGGUGAGUCACGCGUAAUCAACCUGCCCUUCAGCGGGUCAUACCAGUUGGAAACGACUGCUAAUACCGCAUACUCAAGUCGGGGCUUGCGUCUGAUUAGCUAGUUGGAGGGGUAACGUCCCACCAAGGCGAUGAUCAGUAGCCGGUCGUAGAGGAUGAACGGCCACAGUGGGACUGAGAAACGGCCCAGAAUCCGACGGGAGGCAGCAGUGGGGAAUCUUCCGCAAUGGACGAAAGUCUGACGGAGCAACGCCGCGUGAGGGAUGACGGCCUUCGGGUGGUAAAGCUCUGUUAAUCGGGACGCGGUACCGGAAUAGAAAGCCACGGCUAACUACGUGCCAGCAGCCGCGGUAAUAC
rnacentral:rRNA from 1 species